rnacentral:rRNA from 1 species
UACGUAGGGACCAAGCGUUGUUCGGAUUUACUGGCGUAAAGGGCGCGUAGGCGGCUUGCCAAGUCACUUGUGAAAUCUCUGGGCUUAACCCAGAACGGCCAAGUGAAACUGGCAUGCUAGAGUGCAGAAGGGCAAUCGGAAUCUUGGUGUAGCGGUGAAAUGCGUAGAUAUCAAGAGGAACACCUGAGGUGAAGACGGGUUGCUGGGCUGACACUGACGCUGAGGCGCGAAAGCCAGGGAGCAAACGGG